rnacentral:rRNA from 1 species
GACGAACGCUGGCGGCGUGCUUAACACAUGCAAGUCGAACGGAAAGGCCCCUUUGGGGGUACUCGAGUGGCGAACGGGUGCGUAACACGUGAGUAACCUGCCCUUGACUUCGGGAUAACUUCAGGAAACUGGGGCUAAUACCGGAUAGGAAUCCUUGCUGCAUGGUGGGGGUUGGAAAGCUUCGGCGGUUUUGGAUGGACUCGCGGCUUAUCAGCUUGUUGGUGGGGUAGUGGCUUACCAAGGCUUUGACGGGUAGCCGGCCUGAGAGGGCGACCGGCCACAUUGGGACUGAGAUACGGCCCAGACUCCUACGGGAGGCAGCAGUGGGGAAUAUUGCACAAUGGGCGGAAGCCGGAUGCAGCAACGCCGCGUGCGGGAUGACGGCCUUCGGGUUGUAAACCGCUUUCAGCAGGGGCGAAGCUUGUGGUGACGGUACCUGCAGAAGAAGCACCGGCUAACUACGUG